rnacentral:rRNA from 1 species
UAACGCGUGAGUAACCUGCCUUUCAGAGGGGGAUAACAUUCUGAAAAGGAUGCUAAUACCGCAUAACAUCUUAGUAUCGCAUGGUAUUGAGAUCAAAGGAGCAAUCCGCUGGAAGAUGGACUCGCGUCCGAUUAGCUAGUUGGCGGGAUAAAGGCCCACCAAGGCGACGAUCGGUAGCCGGACUGAGAGGUUGAACGGCCACAUUGGGACUGAGACACGGCCCAGACUCCUACGGGAGGCAGCAGUGGGGGAUAUUGCACAAUGGGGGAAACCCUGAUGCAGCAACGCCGCGUGAAGGAUGAAGGUUUUCGGAUUGUAAACUUCUGUUCUUAGUGACGAUAAUGACGGCAGCUAAGAAGAAAGCUCCGGCUAACUACGUGCCAGCAGCCGCGGUAAUACGUAGGGAGCGAGCGUUGUCCGGAUUUACUGGGUGUAAAGGGUGCGUAGGCGGCAGAGCAAGUCAGGCGUGAAAGCCAUGGGCUUAACCCAUGAACUGCGCUUGAAACUGUUUUGCUUGAGUGAAGUAGAGGCAGGCGGAAUUCCCGGUGUAGCGGUGAAAUGCGUAGAGAUCGGGAGGAACACCAGUGGCGAAGGCGGCCUGCUGGGCUUUAACUGACGCUGAGGCACGAAAGCAUGGGUAGCAAACAGGAUUAGAUACCCUGGUAGUCCAUGCCGUAAACGAUGAUUACUAGGUGU